GAAAGCCCGGACUCUCAUAGAAGCCAUUAUUUCGGGGUCUCUUUAAAAAUCGAGCGCCCAUCUCUCCUUUUCUCCCUCCCUCCCUUCUUCCCUCCCUCCUCACCACACCACCCCCAGUGAAAUCCUGGCACCCAGAGAGCGCUCCUUUCAGCCUGAGAGCCCAGAACCAGCCGUUGUCCCCUGGCAAAAAGAGGCCCAGUGCUGAGCCCUGGGCUAGUGUCUCCCGACAUCGCUACCCCUCCUCCCUUUAUAGUUUCCCUUCCCAACAGAAACCAUUUCCUUCUUCCACCAAAACUAGGUUGCAUCCAAAACUUUUUCACAACCUUAAAAAAGAAAAACGAAAAAUUGACAAGCAUUACACAGAAGAGCCCAAAAAAGCUGCAGCAGCUCCAGGGGCGAAGAAGCAGCGUCAGACCCAGGUCUGCAGGACACACCAAAGAACUCCUCCAAGUCACACAAGGGAGAAAACUAACUUCACUGGCUUCUAUCAGGAAAGCUAUUUUUUUUCCUCUUCUUCCCUGCAAGUUUCCCAAACCCCAUGACUCUGAUUUCCAGGUAAUAACACCUCAAUUUUCUCUAAAAGAAACCACACACCCUAUUUCCAGUUCCUGUGGUUUGGCUAUUGCUGACCUUAUGUCCUAGGCUCUAUGACUCAGGCCUCAUCAGUCAGCAUACUUUAUCCAGUCGUCUGUUGGAGCCAACUCAUACAAAGUUGUCCAAACCAACUGGUAAAUGUUCAGAAAUUCCAUGUGCCAGUUGUUAAACAAUCACUAUUAAAAUUUAAAGCACAUAACCUUAUAAUUAAAUUAUGUUAAAAAUGAAGGUAAUGAUACAUCAACCUUAUCACUUCCUAAUCAUUUGACUGCAUUUUACAAUUGUUUAUGCUCCUGAGGUUACUUACAUCUAUUGGAUGUGAUAGUGGAAAUACUGGAUAAUGGUGUGCGGCUAUACAUCUCCUCCCAAUUCCAUGUUCUUUGUCUUCCCUUGAUAGCUUGAAAUUGGCCAUGGUAGCAGUAUUUACACUACAGAACUGCUACAAGAUCAGGGUAUACCCUUUCUUGCCAAAAAGAUUGUUAAACAUUUGGCAGUUGUAGUGGCUUGAAUGGUGGUCCCUAGAAAAAUAUAUGCAAAUCCUAACCUGUGGAACUUGUGAAUGUGACCUUAUUUGUAAAAAGGCCUUUGCAGCUGUAGUAGGUUAAGGAUCUUGAGAUGAAAUCCUCCUGGAUUAUCCAUUUGGGCUCUUAAUAUAAUCGUGUGUGCCCUUAUAGGAUAAAGGCAGAAGCAAUUUGACACAGACACACCAAGGAGACAUAAAGAAAAGAUCAGGAAGCAAUGUGACCACAGAGGCAGAGAUUGGAGUGACAUGGCUGAGGACCAAGGAAUACUUGGAGGCACUUGAUGAGAGCUUGAUGAGAAAGAAACAGAACCUCCCCCCAGAGCUUCCAGAGGUAGCACGGUCCUGCUGACUCCUUGACUUAGCGGUGGUGGCCUCCAUAAAUGUGGGACAAUAAAUUUCUGUUGUUUUAAGCCACCACUUUUUGGUAAUUUGUUAUGGGAGCCACAAGAAACUAUUAAUAAUAUACAAGCUCAGCACUGCAGCACUAGUGUAUGUUCAGGGAUGGGCGUGUGAUACAAGCUAGGGAAUGGGAAGUCAGCUUCUAUCGUAAAACAAACACUCUCCUUUUCCCUGGGGUUGCUGAGUGGUUCCAUCUUUGCAUUAUAUAUGCCUAAGAAUGAAAACAACACAGAAAGUAGUAAAGUUUAGAUUUAAAGAAAGACAUUUCUGUCAACAUUGUUCAAGAAACUGGAUCUAUCCUACCACUGGAUUUUUAAAUAUUACAUAUUAUAUGAGAAAAUUAAUUUCCUUUUUAAAUCAAAUUCCUAUCCAAUAUAUAUAUGUGUCAAUUUUUGGAGAACGUCCCAAAGUGCUCGUCUGCACAGAGAGUGUUUUAAAUACAUACAGUUGCUAUCACUUGGUCAGUUACUAUUUAAAUGAGGCAUAACUAAGAAAGACAAUCAGGAAAAUAUAUACCAAACAGUGAACAAUUUAAGACCUCGCUGAAUUCAAUCACAUUUAUUUGUGCUACAAACACUUAUAUUAAGCCCAACCCUUAUCUAAAGCAUGUGACUCAGGACAGAUAUCCAUAUAUUUAAGAGCUUACAAUUUAUUUGCCAGUAAGGAAUUUGGUAUAGCCCACAUACUGAGGUGAUUAGCAGUAUUAGCUUUUCAUUGUGCACUCUAUAAUUUUCUGAAUAGCUCUAAAUUCAAGUAAUUUUAUUAUUUUUCCUAAACAGAAUUUGGUUAAUGCACAAUUAAAAUACUUUAAAUUUUUUAUGAGAUUGCAUUUAACUACAUCCACAAAUUAUACCAAAAAAUCUUUUGGCAAAUUGAACGCUUUGGGUGGAGAAAUAAGGUGAUUUUCUAUGAUACUGUACCUCUGGUUAAUUUUGUACCUUUGGAUAAUUUUUAUUGUUAGUGUGGAAAAGCACUUUUCUGAAAGGAGCAUGUCACAGAAAACCCCAGGGAUAGCCAUAUUAUAUUAAUUAUUGUGAAAAUAAAAAUAAAAUGCUUUUACAUUCA